rnacentral:rRNA from 1 species
GACGAACGCUGGCGGCGUGCUUAACACAUGCAAGUCGAACGGAAAGGCCCUGCUUUUGUGGGGUGCUCGAGUGGCGAACGGGUGAGUAACACGUGAGUAACCUGCCCUUGACUUUGGGUUAACUUCAGGGAACUGGGGCUAAUACCGGAUAGGAGCUCCUGCUGCAUGGUGGGGGUUGGAAAGUUUCGGCGGUUGGGGAUGGACUCGCGGCUUAUCAGCUUGUUGGUGGGGUAGUGGCUUACCAAGGCUUUGACGGGUAGCCGGCCUGAGAGGGUGACCGGCCACAUUGGGACUGAGAUACGGCCCAGACUCCUACGGGAGGCAGCAGUGGGGAAUAUUGCACAAUGGGCGGAAGCCUGAUGCAGCAACGCCGCGUGCGGGAUGACGGCCUUCGGGUUGUAAACCGCUUUCGCCUGUGACGAAGCGUGAGUGACGGUAAUGGGUAAAGAAGCACCGGCUAACUACGUG